rnacentral:rRNA from 1 species
CAGUAGCCGCGGUAAUACGUAGGGUGCGAGCGUUAAUCGGAAUUACUGGGCGUAAAGCGUGCGCAGGCGGUUAUAUAAGACAGAUGUGAAAUCCCCGGGCUCAACCUGGGACCUGCAUUUGUGACUGUAUAGCUAGAGUACGGUAGAGGGGGAUGGAAUUCCGCGUGUAGCAGUGAAAUGCGUAGAUAUGCGGAGGAACACCGAUGGCGAAGGCAAUCCCCUGGACCUGUACUGACGCUCAUGCACGAAAGCGUGGGGAGCAAACAGGAUUAGAUACCCCGGUAGUCCCUGUCUCUUAUAC